rnacentral:rRNA from 1 species
UGGGGAAUCUUGCACAAUGGGGGAAACCCUGAUGCAGCGACGCCGCGUGAGUGAUGACGCCCUUCGGGGUGUAAAGCUCUUUCGGCAGGAACGAUAAUGACGGUACCUGCAGAAGAAGCUGCGGCUAACUACGUGCCAGCAGCCGCGGUAAUACGUAGGCAGCAAGCGUUGUUCGGAGUUACUGGGCGUAAAGAGUGUGUAGGCGGUUUGCUAAGUUUGGUGUGAAAUCUCCCGGCUGAACUGGGAGGGUGCGCCGAAAACUGGCAGGCUCGAGUGCGGGAGAGGAGAGCGGAAUUCCUGGUGUAGCGGUGAAAUGCGUAGAGAGCAGGAGGAACACCUGCGGUGUAGACGGCUCUCUGGACCGCAACUGACGCUGAGACACGAAAGCGUGGGUAGCAAACA